rnacentral:rRNA from 1 species
GACGAACGCUGGCGGCGUGCUUAACACAUGCAAGUCGUACGGUAAGGCCCUUGCGGGGGUACACGAGUGGCGAACGGGCGAGUAACACGUGAGUAACAUGCCCACCACUUUGGGAUAACGCUAGGAAACUGGUGCUAAUACUGGAUAUGUGCUCCUGCUGCAUGGUGGGGGUUGGAAAGCUCCGGCGGUCGUGGAUGGACUCGCGGCCUAUCGGCUUGUUGGGGGGGUAGUGGCCUACCAAGGCGGCGACGGGUAGCCGGCCUGUGAGGGUGACCGGCGACAUUGAGACUGAGAUACGGCCCAGACUCCUACGGGAGGCAGCAGUGGGGAAUAUUGCACAAUGGGCGCAAGCCUGAUGCAGCAACGCCGCGUGCGGGAUGACGGCCUUCGGGUUGUAAACCGCUUUCAGCAGGGACGAAGCUUUUUGUGACGGUACCUGCAGAAGAAGCACCGGCUAACUACGUG